GCGGGGUCAGCUCGAUGGUUCGAGCAGAAAACUCAUAAUUUUUUGGCUGCGGGUUCAAAUCCUGCACCCCGUACCA
rnacentral:tRNA from 1 species